rnacentral:rRNA from 1 species
UACGUAGGGUGCGAGCGUUGUCCGGAAUUAUUGGGCGUAAAGAGCUUGUAGGCGGUUUGUCGCGUCUGCUGUGAAAUUUCGGGGCUCAACCCCGAACUUGCAGUGGGUACGGGCAGACUAGGGUGUGGUAGGGGAGACUGGAAUUCCUGGUGUAGCGGUGAAAUGCGCAGAUAUCAGGAGGAACACCGAUGGCGAAGGCAGGUCUCUGGGCCAUAACUGACGCUGAGAAGCGAAAGCAUGGGGAGCGAACAGG